AUGUUGUGUGCUAGGGAAUCCUAUCUGAGCCAAAUUGAAGAACCAUUGCCAUGUUCAUCCAAAGUGAAAGAUACAAGAGCCAUUGGGGAUCUUCUAAGAGAUUGUUUGAUUAUGUUGAUUGCUUGAGCUUACACUCAUUUUGCUUGCAUAUUCCAAAGGAUGAGAGCUACUUGGAUCAUCAAUAUAAUCUCAAUAGAGGAACUCUAUUUGUGGUCUUGUUUCUUAUCCUUCAUCUCUUGUAUGAUUAGGACUUUAG
rnacentral:lncRNA from 1 species